GAUGAACGCUGGCGGCGUGCCUAAUACAUGCAAGUCGAGCGAACGGACGAGAAGCUUGCUUCUCUGAUGUUAUCGGCGGACGGGUGAGUAACACGUGGAUAACCUACCUAUAAGACUGGGAUAACUUCGGGAAACCGGAGCUAAUACCGGAUAAUAUUUUGAACCGCAUGGUUCAAUAGUGAAAGACGGUCUUGCUGUCACUUAUAGAUGGAUCCGCGCUGCAUUAGCUAGUUGGUAGGGUAACGGCUUACCAAGGCAACGAUGCAUAGCCGACCUGAUAGGGUGGUCGGCCACCUUGGAACUGGGACACGGUCCAGACUCCUACGGGAGGCAGCAGUAGGGAAUCUUCCGCAAUGGGCGAAAGCCUGACGGAGCAACGCCGCGUGAGUGAUGAAGGUCUUCGGAUCGUAAAACCCUGUUAUUAGUGAAGAACAUAUGUGUAAGGAACUGUGCACAUCUUGACGGUACCUAAUCAGAAAGCCACGGCUAACUACGUG
rnacentral:rRNA from 1 species